AACGAACGCUGGCGGCAUGCCUAACACAUGCAAGUCGAACGAGAUCUUCGGGUCUAGUGGCGCACGGGUGCGUAACGCGUGGGAAUCUGCCCUUUGGUUCGGAAUAACAGUUGGAAACGACUGCUAAUACCGGAUGAUGACGAAAGUCCAAAGAUUUAUCGCCAGAGGAUGAGCCCGCGUAGGAUUAGCUAGUUGGUGUGGUAAAGGCGCACCAAGGCGACGAUCCUUAGUUGGUCUGAGAGGAUGAUCAGCCACACUGGGACUGAGAUACGGCCCAGACUCCUACGGGAGGCAGCAGUGGGGAAUAUUGGACAAUGGGCGAAAGCCUGAUCCAGCAAUGCCGCGUGAGUGAUGAAGGCCUUAGGGUUGUAAGGCUCUUUUACCCGGGAUGAUAAUGACAGUACCGGGAGAAUAAGCUCCGGCUAACUCCGUGCCAGCAGCCGCGGUAA
rnacentral:rRNA from 1 species